UAGGGAAUCUUCGGCAAUGGGGGGAACCCUGACCGAGCAACGCCGCGUGAGUGAAGAAGGUUUUCGGAUCGUAAAGCUCUGUUGUUAAGGAAGAACGAGUGUGAGAAUGGAAAGUUCAUACUGUGACGGUACUUAACCAGAAAGGGACGGCUAACUACGUGCCAGCAGCCGCGGUAAUACGUAGGUCCCGAGCGUUGUCCGGAUUUAUUGGGCGUAAAGCGAGCGCAGGCGGUUAGAUAAGUCUGAAGUUAAAGGCAGUGGCUCAACCAUUGUAGGCUUUGGAACCUGUUUAACUUGAGUGCAGAAGGGGAGAGUGGAAUUCCAUGUGUAGCGGUGAAAUGCGUAGAUAUAUGGAGGAACACCGGUGGCGAAAGCGGCUCUCUGGUCUGUAACUGACGCUGAGGCUCGAAAGCGUGGGGAGCGAACAGGAUUAGAUACCCUGGUAGUCCACGCCGUAACGAUGAGUGCUAGGUGUUAGGUCCUUUCCGGGACUUAGUGCCGCAGCUAACGCAUUAAGCACUCCGCCUGGGGAGUACGACCGCAAGGUU
rnacentral:rRNA from 1 species